rnacentral:rRNA from 1 species
GAUGAACGCUGGCGGCGUGCCUAAUACAUGCAAGUCGAGCGAACAGAUGAGGAGCUUGCUCCUCUGACGUUAGCGGCGGACGGGUGAGUAACACGUGGGUAACCUACCUAUAAGACUGGGAUAACUUCGGGAAACCGGAGCUAAUACCGGAUAAUAUAUUGAACCGCAUGGUUCAAUAGUGAAAGACGGUUUUGCUGUCACUUAUAGAUGGAUCCGCGCCGCAUUAGCUAUUUGGUAAGGUAACGGCUUACCAAGGCAACGAUGCGUAGCCGACCUGAGAGGGGGAUCGCCCACACUGGAACUGAGACACGGUCCAGACUCCUACGGGAGGCAGAAGUAGGGAAUCUUCGGAAAUGGGCGAAAGCCUGACGGAGCAACGCCGCGUGAGUGAUGAAGGUCUUCGGAUCGUAAAACUCUGUUAUUAGGGAAGAACAAAUGUGUAAGUAACUAUGCACGUCUUGACGGUACCUAAUCAGAAAGCCACGGCUAACUACGUG